rnacentral:rRNA from 1 species
AUUGAAAGUAAUAGAACGAUUCAAUGGGCUCUAAGCCUAUAAACUAUAUACAACUUUCAGCAACGGAUCUCUUGGCUCUCGCAUCGGGGAAGAACGCACCCCCCCGCGAUAAGUAAUGUGAAUUGCAGAAUUCAGUGAAUCAUCGAAUCUUUGAACGCACCUUGCGCUCCUUGGUAUUCCGAGGAGCAUGCCUGUUUGAGUGUCAUUAAAUUCUCAACCUCAUCGCUUUUGUGAUGAUGGCUUGGAUGUGGAGGUUUCUGCAGGUCCGAAAGGUCUGCUCCUCUCAAAUGAAUUAGUGGGUGCCCCGCGCAAACCUAUCUAUUGGUGUGAUAAUUAUCUACGCCGUGGAUCUUAGGAUUGCUGUAAAAAGGUGUUUGCCCUGCUUCUAACCGUCCCCUUGUUGGGACAACUUGAACCAUUUGACCUCAAAUCAGGUAGGACUACCCGCUGAACUUAAGCAUAUCAAUAAGCGGAGGAA